rnacentral:tRNA from 1 species
GGUUAUGACUCAGUGGUAGAGCACUUACCUUGCACGUGAAAGGCCCUGGGUUCAAUCCUCAGCACCA